rnacentral:misc_RNA from 1 species
CGCCCUGCCCACCACUUUAAGAUUGUUUCUCUUCCCAAUGCCUUGAACAUCCCGCUAUCAAGUUUGGAGGCUAGGUUGCCUGAAAUCUCAUCAGCUUUGAAGGGAGAGGGAGAGCGCAGGGGUAUUGAAACAGAGUCGGGUGUGAGCCUAUAUGUUGUCUGUAGAAGAGGUAAUGAUUCACAGAGGGCUGUUCAAUUAUUACACGAGAAGGGCUUUAGUUCAGCCAGGGAUAUCAUUGGGGGCUUGGAGGCCUGGGCCAAUGACGUAGAUCCAAAUUUCCCAACAUAUUAGAAGUUGAAAAUUUUCAAGUAACUUUACAGAAGGAGAUCCAUUUUAUUAUUGUGCCAGUUUUGUUCCAGUUAUGAUAUAAGAAAAGGAGAUCUAUUGAAGCAUUCAUCUCUGUUUUCACAAUGUAUUACAU